UACAGAGGUCUCAAGCGUGGUUCGGAUUCAUUGGGCGUAAAGGGUGCGUAGGUGGCGCGCUAAGUCAGGUGUGAAAUUUCGGAGCUUAACUCCGAAACUGCAUUUGAUACUGGCGUGCUUGAGGACUGGAGAGGAGACUGGAAUUCAUGGUGUAGCAGUGAAAUGCGUAGAGAUCAUGAGGAAGACCAGUGGCGAAGGCGGGUCUCUGGACAGUUCCUGACGCUGAGGCACGAAGGCCAGGGGAGCAAACGGG
rnacentral:rRNA from 1 species